rnacentral:lncRNA from 1 species
AGGAGAGAACAGGGGAAGACGGAGAGCUGGAGAGGAGGCGGGAAGCGAGGAGAGCACGGUCCACUUCAUCCUCCUCGGCGAUGAGGGGCGAUGGCAUUGUUGGAAUGGGAGGAUGAGAAGGGAGAGGGGUGCCUUGGAUCUAAUUUCACUCGCCCAUGGCAUCGGUCAUCGCUGUCCAUCGGCCGCCGCCACGGAGGUGGCAUCGCCGGCGGCUCUCCUCGGAGGAAGAAAGAAGAGGGGGCCGGAGAUGGAGCGAUGGAUUUCCGCCGUAUAAU